rnacentral:rRNA from 1 species
AUUGAACGCUGGCGGCAUGCCUUACACAUGCAAGUCGAACGGCAGCACGGGAGCAAUCCUGGUGGCGAGUGGCGAACGGGUGAGUAAAGUAUCGGAACGUGCCCAGUCGUGGGGGAUAACGCAGCGAAAGUUACGCUAAUACCGCAUACGAUCUAUGGAUGAAAGCGGGGGAUCGCAAGACCUCGCGCGAUUGGAGCGGCCGAUAUCAGAUUAGGUAGUUGGUGGGGUAAAGGCUCACCGAGCCGACGAUCUGUAGCUGGUCUGAGAGGACGACCAGCCACACUGGGACUGAGACACGGCCCAGACUCCUACGGGAGGCAGCAGUGGGGAAUUUUGGACAAUGGGCGAAAGCCUGAUCCAGCCAUGCCGCGUGCAGGAUGAAGGCCUUCGGGUUGUAAACUGCUUUUGUACGGAACGAAAAGGUUUGGGCUAAUAAGCUGAGCUCAUGACGGUACCGUAAGAAUAAGCACCGGCCAACUACGUGCCAGCCGCCGCAGUAA